UCGCGUGUCUUCCGAACGCUGCUGCUUCGCCCCGGCAAGAGCACUUCCUUCGGCGGCUGUUAAAACCGGCGCGCGGGUUCCCAACUUCGCAGAAGCAGUUCAUCGGCCCUCCGCUGGAGACCUCAGACCGCAGCCAUCGACGCCCCGCCUCGGGGGUCUGUCCCCACCCUCGGGGCCAGCUCACCAGGAGUCAGGCCCUGUGCUAGGUGCUGGGAUGAAGCAGUGACUGACACAGGCCUGGACCUGUCAUUGUGAAGACUGCGUCUGUGACACAGAUACUGUGCCAUGUGGCAAAACUUAAAUGGAGACAUCAGCUCUUUGUGGGUCUCAAGUCUACUGGCUUUCAAUCAGCUCUUCUGCUUGACAGCUGCAGGUCUUGGGACUGCCCAGCCCCCAUAACCCUGUGAGUACAUUCCUGAUAAUAACCCUCUUUCUCUUGCCCUGCCCCACCCCACACCAUUUGUUCUGUUUCUCUGGAGAACCCUAAUACAUCAUUUACUAAUCAGGAAACAGAUUCAGAGACAUUAAUAACUCAUCCAACCUCACAGUUAACUGUAGAGUUGGGCUUGAAAUUCCAAGGUCGACUUUCUUACCCAAUACACCAUGCUACAUAUAUGUAUGUAAAAAUAAAAACCCCUGUGAACU
rnacentral:antisense_RNA from 1 species